rnacentral:ncRNA from 1 species
UAUCAAGGGGUGCUCAUUCCGUUUGGAAUCUGCUGAGAUGAUACCCUUCAGAACCUGAUGCGGGUAAUGCCGACGUAGGGAUGAUAAGAU